CACCUCCACUAAGCGUGUCAUCUACAGAAGAGACCACGGGGCCUGUGACAGGAGGCAAAAUCUCCAGAACACAGGCUUCUUGAUAGUUCCUCUAAUUCCAUCGAAUCUGGAUUUAGUUUUCGUUUUGUUUUGUUUUUUUCUGAAAAACCAAACCAGUCUCCUCACUCUUCUCCCUUUAUCUACACGAAAGACAGAAAAGGAGCCCUUUUGCUAUGAAAACGAAUUCUUCCGUUUUUAAUCCUUUCAGCCAUGUCGCAUCAGCCAGGAGCAUGGAGCAACUAACAAGGGAAACAGAGAAAUAUUCCCAGCAAGCGCUGUCAUUGCCCCACCAGGGUCUGAGUGAAGCUGGCGGAAGUGGCGUCUCGGACAGCUCUGUGGUACAAGGACUCAGGGGAAGAUUGGAGAAAACUAAGACCCUGGCCCAGCAGUUGUCAAGGGAAGCCACCCAAACUGACGUGGAAGCGGAUAGGUCUUAUCAGCACAGUCUCGGCCUUCUGGAUUCCGUGUCUGGGCUUCAGAUAGUGGACGAUCGGUCCUUUCAGGUGGAAGCGAAGAGAAUCAGACAAAAAACUGAUUCUCUCUCUAGCCUGGUGACCAGGCAUAUGGAUGAGUUCGGGCGUGUGCAGAGCAAUCUGGAAAACUGGGAAAAAGAAACCCAGCAGCUCUUACAGAAUGGAAAAAAUGAGAGACAGAAAUCAGAUCAGCUGCUUUCCCGUGCCAACCUUGCUAAAAGCAGAGCCCAAGAAGCACUAAGUAUGGGCAAUGCCACUUUUUAUGAAGUUGAGAACAUCCUAAAGAACCUCAGAGAGUUUGACCUGCAGGUGGAAGACAGGAAGGCAGAAGCCGAAGAGGCACUGAGGAGACUCUCCUACAUCAGCCAGAGAGUUGCAGAUGCCAGUGACAAGACCCAGCAGGCCGAAGCGGCCCUGGGCAGCGCCUCAGCGGACGCCCGGAGUGCAGAGAAGACGGCCAGGGAGGCCCUGGAGAUCUCCAGCGAGAUAGAACAGGAGAUAGGGAGUCUGAACUUGGAAGCCAAUGUGACUGCAGAUGGGGCUUUGGCCAUGGAAAAGGGACUGGCCACUCUAAAGAGCGAGAUGAGGGAGGUGGAAGCAGAGCUGGCCAGGAGGCAGCUGGAGUUUGACACGGACAGGGAUGCGGUGCAGAUGGUGAGCCACGGCUUCUUUCCCUGGGGGAUCCCUUUAAAGUCACCAAUAUGGAAAAUACCCAUCCCAGGCAAGUCUGUUCUUCUUUCUCCUCAGGUGAUUACAGAAGCCCAGAGAGUUGAUACCAGAGCCAAGAAUGCAGGCGUUACAAUCCAAGACACGCUCAGCACCCUGGACGGCAUCCUACAUCUGAUAGACCAGCCUAAUGCUGUGGAUGAAGAGCGACUGAUCUUAUUGGAGGAGGAGCUUUUCCGUGCCAAGACCCGGAUCAACAGCCAGCUGAGGCCCUUGAUGGCAGAGCUGGAGGAGAGGGCGCGUCGACAGAAGGGCCACCUCCAUCUGCUGCAGACAAGCAUAGAUGGAAUUCUGGCGGACGUGAAGAACCUGGAAAACAUUAGGGACAACCUGCCCCCGGGCUGCUACAAUACCCAGGCUCUCGAGCAACAGUGA
rnacentral:lncRNA from 1 species